CACGUAGGCACCAAGCGUUGUCCGGAUUUAUUGGGCGUAAAGAGCUCGUAGGCGGUUCGGUAAGUCGGGUGUGAAAACUCUGGGCUCAACCCAGAGCCGCCACCCGAUACUGCUGUGACUCGAGUGCGGUAGGGGAGCGGGGAAUUCCUGGUGUAGCGGUGAAAUGCGCAGGAUAUCAGGAGGAACACCGGUGGCGAAGGCGGGUCUCUGGGGCCGAUGACUGACGCUGAGGAGCGAAAGCGUGGGGAGCGACAGG
rnacentral:rRNA from 1 species